rnacentral:rRNA from 1 species
ACGAACGCUGGCGGCGUGCCUAAUACAUGCAAGUAGAACGCUGAAGAGAGGAGCUUGCUCUUCUUGGAUGAGUUGCGAACGGGUGAGUAACGCGUAGGUAACCUGCCUUGUAGCGGGGGAUAACUAUUGGAAACGAUAGCUAAUACCGCAUAACAAUGGAUGACACAUGUCAUUUAUUUGAAAGGGGCAAUUGCUCCACUACAAGAUGGACCUGCGUUGUAUUAGCUAGUAGGUGAGGUAACGGCUCACCUAGGCGACGAUACAUAGCCGACCUGAGAGGGUGAUCGGCCACACUGGGACUGAGACACGGCCCAGACUCCUACGGGAGGCAGCAGUAGGGAAUCUUCGGCAAUGGGGGCAACCCUGACCGAGCAACGCCGCGUGAGUGAAGAAGGUUUUCGGAUCGUAAAGCUCUGUUGUAAGUCAAGAACGAGUGUGAGAGUGGAAAGUUCACACUGUGACGGUAGCUUACCAGAAAGGGACGGCUAACUACGUGCCAGCAGCCGCGGUAAUACGUAGGUCCCGAGCGUUGUCCGGAUUUAUUGGGCGUAAAGCGAGCGCAGGCGGUUUGAUAAGUCUGAAGUUAAAGGCUGUGGCUCAACCAUAGUUCGCUUUGGAAACUGUCAAACUUGAGUGCAGAAGGGGAGAGUGGAAUUCCAUGUGUAGCGGUGAAAUGCGUAGAUAUAUGGAGGAACACCGGUGGCGAAAGCGGCUCUCUGGUCUGUAACUGACGCUGAGGCUCGAAAGCGUGGGGAGCGAACAGGAUUAGAUACCCUGGUAGUCCACGCCGUAAACGAUGAGUGCUAGGUGUUGGAUCCUUUCCGGGAUUCAGUGCCGCAGCUAACGCAUUAAGCACUCCGCCUGGGGAGUACGACCGCAAGGUUGAAACUCAAAGGAAUUGACGGGGGCCCGCACAAGCGGUGGAGCAUGUGGUUUAAUUCGAAGCAACGCGAAGAACCUUACCAGGUCUUGACAUCCCGAUGCUAUUUCUAGAGAUAGAAAGUUACUUCGGUACAUCGGUGACAGGUGGUGCAUGGUUGUCGUCAGCUCGUGUCGUGAGAUGUUGGGUUAGGUCCCGCAACGAGCGCAACCCCUAUUGUUAGUUGCCAUCAUUCAGUUGGGCACUCUAGCGAGACUGCCGGUAAUAAACCGGAGGAAGGUGGGGAUGACGUCAAAUCAUCAUGCCCCUUAUGACCUGGGCUACACACGUGCUACAAUGGUUGGUACAACGAGUUGCGAGUCGGUGACGGCAAGCUAAUCUCUUAAAGCCAAUCUCAGUUCGGAUUGUAGGCUGCAACUCGCCUACAUGAAGUCGGAAUCGCUAGUAAUCGCGGAUCAGCACGCCGCGGUGAAUACGUUCCCGGGCCUUGUACACACCGCCCGUCACACCACGAGAGUUUGUAACACCCGAAGUCGGUGAGGUAACCUUUUGGAGCCAGCCGCCUAAGGUGGGAUAGAUGAUUGGGGUG